AUUAUAUUGAAACAUUUUGGUAACAUUCAGUCAUGAACUUCAACGAUGAACUUUGAUAGAAAACUGCAAGGAAGCGAUGAUGUCAAAGGCUCCAAAAAGUCACGUCAAGAUCUUCACAUAGCAGCUCAAAGCAAUUACUUGGCCAGACAGAAGGGUGGGGAAAUUCAACGAAGAAUUAGAAACCUUGAUCGACAGUUUCAUCAGGACAUUUUACGCUUAGAAAAUUCGAUGAGCAUUAUGGAGGUACCGGAAAAGUCUUUGGCUGCGAAAUGGAUAUCCAAAUUAAGAGCACAUCAGCCCAAUCUCAGUGAAGCUAAUGCCCGAAACUAUAUUCUGACAUACUUACUGCAAUCUAAUCCGUGCAAAAUAUUCGGAAAGAAGCCGUUCAACAAUCCUCCAUCGCAGAAUGACUUAUCACAAAUUAAAAAGGAAAUCUCUAUUUCAACUGAUAAGAAGGUGGUCAAGGACUUGUUUUCCAAUUCAUGCGAUAAUGGUGCCUUUCUACGUAAAUUACCUGUACCACGGGAUGGAGCUUUUUUUAUAGUCCAUCUUCAUCCAAAUUUGAUAUGAUUCUUA
rnacentral:sRNA from 1 species